GGCCACAGCCAUAUCACCCUGCAGCCCAAGACCGGUUACUCACUGAAGCUAACCAGGGCUGAGCCUGGUCAGUACCUGGAUGGGAGACCACUAGGGAACACUAGGUUGCUGUUGGAA
rnacentral:rRNA from 1 species